rnacentral:rRNA from 1 species
CUACGGGAGGCAGCAGUGGGGAAUAUUGCGCAAUGGGCGAAAGCCUGACGCAGCAACGCCGCGUGAGGGAUGACGGCCUUCGGGUUGUAAACCUCUUUCAGCAGGGAAGAAGCGAAAGUGACGGUACCUGCAGAAGAAGCACCGGCUAACUACGUGCCAGCAGCCGCGGUAAUACGUAGGGUGCAAGCGUUGUCCGGAUUUAUUGGGCGUAAAGAGCUCGUAGGCGGUUAGUCACGUCGGAUGUGAAAUCCCAAGGCUUAACCUUGGGUCUGCAUUCGAUACGGGCUGACUAGAGUGUUGUAGGGGAGACUGGAACUCCUGGUGUAGCGGUGAAAUGCGCAGAUAUCAGGAAGAACACCGGUGGCGAAGGCGGGUCUCUGGGCAACUACUGACGCUGAGGAGCGAAAGCGUGGGGAGCAAACAGGAUUAGAUACCCGGUAGUC